UCAGAUAUCAGCUGUUCUUCUCUGGCUUCAGCUCUGAGGUCAAACCCCUCUCAUCUGAGAGAACUGGAUCUGAGAGGAAACGACCUGCAGGACUCAGGAGUGAAGGAGCUGCUUGAUCUACAGCAGAGUCCAACCUGUCGACUGGAGACUCUGAGGUGGGAUAGGAGAUCAGAUCAGAGAGAUAACCCUAACACUAACAGGUUGGAGACAACACACAAGACCCCCCGGUCUUGUGUGUUGUCUUAGUGGAGGUGAGUGUGAAGAGGACAGUGUGUGUGGACAGAGGCUGAGCUGUGUCCUGAGGAUCCAGAGGCUGAGGCAGCAGCAGCUUGUGUGUAGUCUCCAAUCUACACAACCCCUAAUCUGCAUGUGUUUGUGAGAUGAAGCCGGAGCACCUGGAGAAAACACGUGGAGAACAUGCAGACUCCACACAGGAAGACCCAUCUGAACCGGAUUCAAACCAGCAACCUUCCUGCCCCGGUUGUGUUUAUUCACAUGAAGAAUGUGUUUAUUGAAAUGACACAACACAAGCAGAAUAUAUAAACCCUCUAUAGAGUCACAUACAGUGUGUUUACGUUUGUCUUUAUUAAUUUCCACCUUUGUCCCUCAGUAUGUCUCCAUGUGUGUAGAACCACAUUCUGUGUAGAUGUUUGUUUAUGAUCUUAAAGUUCCAAAGUUAUAAAGUUAUAUAUAUAUAGUUGUACGAUAUAUAUAAAAACUAUAGUUUGUUGCAUUUAUAAAAUUAUAGAACGACAAUAAACUGUUGACAUUUUAUUGCUAUUUUUACAUGUUACAAAAAAGGAAAACACCAAACUCUUAUGAAGAGGAGAGCAAAAUACAUGUGUAGGCCGACUUUGAAAUAAAUGAAACACAGAACUAUGCUUUUUUUUGCUCCUUUCCAGCUUGAUACUUUUCAGCAAAUGCUGUGAGCUUGCUCUGAAAUUGUCUUUAAACAUUACAUUUUUUGUUGUUUGCCAAUUCCUCGCCACAUAAAGCAUAUACAGGUAAACCUGCAUCGUUGGCAGUGGAAGCAAAUGAAUCUGUCCACGCAGAAUUAAACUCUAUAUUUUCCUCCCAGA